CGGGACGGGUGAGUAAUGUCUGGGAAACUGCCUGAUGGAGGGGGGUAACUACUGGAAACGGUAGCUAAUACCGCAUAACGUCGCAAGACCAAGAGGGGACCUUCGGGCCUCUUGCCAUCGGAUGUGCCCAGAUGGGAUUAGCUAGUAGGUGGGGUAAAGGCUCACCUAGGCGACGAUCCCUAGCUGGUCUGAGAGGAUGACCAGCCACACUGGAACUGAGACACGGUCCAG
rnacentral:rRNA from 1 species